rnacentral:rRNA from 1 species
CCUACGGGGGGCAGCAGUGGGGGAUAUUGCACAAUGGGGGAAACCCUGAUGCAGCGACGCCGCGUGUGGGAAGACGGUCCUCUGGAUUGUAAACCACUGUCCCCAGGGACGAAGAUGACGGUACCUGGGGAGGAAGCUCCGGCUAACUACGUGCCAGCAGCCGCGGUAAUACGUAGGGAGCGAGCGUUGUCCGGAAUUACUGGGUGUAAAGGGUGCGUAGGCGGGCUGUUAAGUCAGCGGUAAAAGCCCGGGGCUCAACCCCGGCGAGCCGUUGAAACUGGCUGUCUUGAGAUGUCGAGAGGUAUGCGGAAUGCGCGGUGUAGCGGUGAAAUGCUUAGAUAUUGCGCAGAACUCCGAGUGCGAAGGCAGCAUACCGGCGGCGAUCUGACGCUGAGGCACGAAAGCGUGGGUAUCGAACAGGAUUAGAUACCCCGGUAGUC